CAGCAGCGGUAAUACGUAGGGUGCGAGCGUUAAUCGGAAUUACUGGGCGUAAAGCGUGCGCAGGCGGUUUUGUAAGACAGGCGUGAAAUCCCCGGGCUCAACCUGGGAAUGGCGCUUGUGACUGCAAAGCUAGAGUGCGGCAGAGGGGGAUGGAAUUCCGCGUGUAGCAGUGAAAUGCGUAGAUAUGCGGAGGAACACCGAUGGCGAAGGCAAUCCCCUGGGCCUGCACUGACGCUCAUGCACGAAAGCGUGGGGAGCAAACAGGAUUAGAUACCCCCGUAGUCCCUGUCUCUUAUACACC
rnacentral:rRNA from 1 species